UACGAAGGGUGCAAGCGUUACUCGGAAUUACUGGGCGUAAAGCGUGCGUAGGUGGUUCGUUAAGUCUGAUGUGAAAGCCCCGGGCUCAACCUGGGAAUUGCAUUCGAGACUGCAUUGCUGGAGUACGGAAGAGGAGGGCGGAAUUCCCGGUGUAGCGGUGAAAUGCGUAGAUAUCGGGAGGAACAUCAGUGGCGAAGGCGGCCCUCUGGUCCAGUACUGACACUCAAGUGCGAAAGCGUGGGGAGCAAACAGG
rnacentral:rRNA from 1 species